CGUACGCUUCUUUUUCACCGGAGCUUGCUCCACCGGAAAAAGAAGAGUGGCGAACGGGUGAGUAACACGUGGGUAACCUGCCCAUCAGAAGGGGAUAACACUUGGAAACAGGUGCUAAUACCGUAUAACAAUCGAAACCGCAUGGUUUUGAUUUGAAAGGCGCUUUCGGGUGUCGCUGAUGGAUGGACCCGCGGUGCAUUAGCUAGUUGGUGAGGUAACGGCUCACCAAGGCUACGAUGCAUAGCCGACCUGAGAGGGUGAUCGGCCACAUUGGGACUGAGACACGGCCCAAACUCCUACGGGAGGCAGCAGUAGGGAAUCUUCGGCAAUGGACGAAAGUCUGACCGAGCAACGCCGCGUGAGUGAAGAAGGUUUUCGGAUCGUAAAACUCUGUUGUUAGAGAAGAACAAGGAUGAGAGUAACUGUUCAUCCCUUGACGGUAUCUAACCAGAAAGCCACGGCUAACUACGUGCCAGCAGCCGCGGUAAUACGUAGGUGGCAAGCGUUGUCCGGAUUUAUUGGGCGUAAAGCGAGCGCAGGCGGUUUCUUAAGUCUGAUGUGAAAGCCCCCGGCUCAACCGGGGAGGGUCAUUGGAAACUGGGAGACUUGAGUGCAGAAGAGGAGAGUGGAAUUCCAUGUGUAGCGGUGAAAUGCGUAGAUAUAUGGAGGAACACCAGUGGCGAAGGCGGCUCUCUGGUCUGUAACUGACGCUGAGGCUCGAAAGCGUGGGGAGCAAACAGGAUUAGAUACCCUGGUAGUCCACGCCGUAAACGAUGAGUGCUAAGUGUUGGAGGGUUUCCGCCCUUCAGUGCUGCAGCUAACGCAUUAAGCACUCCGCCUGGGGAGUACGACCGCAAGGUUGAAACUCAAAGGAAUUGACGGGGGCCCGCACAAGCGGUGGAGCAUGUGGUUUAAUUCGAAGCAACGCGAAGAACCUUACCAGGUCUUGACAUCCUUUGACCACUCUAGAGAUAGAGCUUCCCCUUCGGGGGCAAAGUGACAGGUGGUGCAUGGUUGUCGUCAGCUCGUGUCGUGAGAUGUUGGGUUAAGUCCCGCAACGAGCGCAACCCUUAUUGUUAGUUGCCAUCAUUCAGUUGGGCACUCUAGCAAGACUGCCGGUGACAAACCGGAGGAAGGUGGGGAUGACGUCAAAUCAUCAUGCCCCUUAUGACCUGGGCUACACACGUGCUACAAUGGGAAGUACAACGAGUCGCGAAGUCGCGAGGCUAAGCUAAUCUCUUAAAGCUUCUCUCAGUUCGGAUUGUAGGCUGCAACUCGCCUACAUGAAGCCGGAAUCGCUAGUAAUCGCGGAUCAGCACGCCGCGGUGAAUACGUUCCCGGGCCUUGUACACACCGCCCGUCACACCACGAGAGUUUUAACACCCGAAGUCGGUGAGGUAACCUUUGGAGCC
rnacentral:rRNA from 1 species